rnacentral:rRNA from 1 species
GCCUCUGGCUAUAGGAAAUUGUUAGUGGCAGACGGGUGAGUAAUGCGUAGGAAUCUACCUAGUAGUACGGAAUAGCCAUUAGAAAUGGUGGGUAAUACUGUAUAAUCCCCGAGGGGGAAAGAUUUAUCGCUAUUAGAUGAGCCUACGUUAGAUUAGCUAGUUGGUGAGGUAAUGGCUUACCAAGGCUAUGAUCUAUAGCUGGUCUGAGAGGACGAUCAGCCACACUGGAACUGAGAUACGGUCCAGACUCCUACGGGAGGCAGCAGUGGGGAAUAUUGGACAAUGGGCGAAAGCCUGAUCCAGCUAUGCCGCGUGAGUGAAGAAGGCCUUCGGGUUGUAAAACUC